GGCUUUAUAUUCAUUUUUGUGAUAACAGAAUGCAAUUCUGGUGGGAUGGACUUGGUUUCCAUUAAGGUCU
rnacentral:tRNA from 1 species